GAGUGUGAGAGUGAUCUGGCUGCGACAUCUGUCAUCCCUUUGAUUGCCAGGGUUGAUUUUGUUAAUCUGGCUGGCUAGGCGGGUGUUUCCUUCCUCCCUCACCGUGCCAGGCGUCCCUCCUGAUACUGUGUACUUGGUUGAAGAGAAGAACCUUUCCCCGUAGAAGAGGGCCAUUUCCUCUGUUGGGGUAUAUGAGUAGCUGUGCUCCCCUCCUAGAACCUCCACACAAGCUCUCAAGAAUCCAUGUCUGUGGAAUACACUGACUCAAAUCAAGGAUCCUCUGAACUGAUAACACGGGCUAAUGGGACCAAAUCUGCUUGCCUUU
rnacentral:snRNA from 1 species